CCGAGGAGCGCACGCCACAGCAGCAACGAGGAGUAGAAAUUGAGCGCGUACUCCGAGGAGAGAGCCAGAGGCGGAGGCUACUUGUGCGCCGUCCUCAAGUACAAAUCCACCACCACCACCACCCCACUCCAGCCCACCAACCCACAUCCUCCCGUACUCUACCACGUACGUACCGGACCCUCCCCACUCGCGCGCAAGCUACUUUUAUUCCUGGCGGCGGCGGCGGCGGCGGCGGCGGAGUCCGUCUGAUACCGCACCUGGUGCGUGCCUGAGAAGAACGGGAGAGUCAUCCGGAGCCGCUCGUCCAACUGACCGCCUGUCGGGCCCUACCGCCAUGGGAGAUCGCCUCCGAGCUAGGUGAGGUGAGAUGGGUUCGUCGACCCACCGACCGCUCCUCGGCGCCCGAUCUGAUCUGAGUACCUGCCUACUUGGUCAGCAGCGCUCUUCCUCCUCCUCCUCCUCCGUCGGCAUUCGGCAAGACGAGAGGCUACGGCUACGUCUAUAUAGCUAGGCCUAGGAGUAGGCUGAGCAGUAGCGCGCGCUAGUCGGCCGGCGCCCAGCACGUGGUGGGGGUUCACCGAGGAGGCUGCUGCGGUUGUCCGCCGUCUCGUCUCUCUCCUCACUUUCUUCCCAGGGCGGGGCGUGGCUGGGGCGGGGCGGGGCGGGGGNNNNNNNNNNNNNNNNNNNGGGGCGGGGCUAGCUGACGGCGACGUGUCCCGCUUUCCAUGAUGGGGAUGGGGAUGUCUCGUCCGCUUCCGCUACUUGCUUCUGCCUGCCAAUGGAGUGGUGGCCGGGAACGGCUUCCCGCGAGCUAGUGGCGUCCGUCGUGGCAGCCAUGCGCAUCAAAUCUUAUUGCUUGCCUGCUAGAUUCCUUGGAUUGUAUCGUGACGAGAUUUUCCCUCUCCUCUCUUUUCCCUUUGUGCCCAGCCAGCGGAGUUAAUCCGAGCUUCGUGGCUCCCGUCACUCCGGCCGGUUCCUUGGCUUGUACGUAUGCGGCGGAGGGUUUGAGGAUUGCUGAGCGAGCUGCUUGUGGGCGGCCAUGGAGCAUCCCGCGACAAGGAGCGACGAUGGCGGCAUGCGUGGUGCCGACAUGGACGAGCUGGAUCUCAUGGAGGAGUUCCUGCUGGCGUCGCCCGGGCCCGACUUCCCCGAGUUCCUGCACCCGGGCGGCGCGGCGUCGCCGAGCCCCUUCUCCCCCCUCUUCGACCUCGGCAGCACCAUCACCACCGCCCCGGCC
rnacentral:lncRNA from 1 species